UGGGGGAUAUUGCACAAUGAGCGAAAGCCUGAUGCAGCGACGCCGCGUGGGGGAUGAAGGCCUUCGGGUUGUAAACUUCUUUUGCUCUGAACAAGGCAUGCCUUUGGGGUGUGUUGAGUGUAGGGGUUGAUUAGCGCCGGCUAACUACGUGCCAGCAGCCGCGGUAAUACGUAGGGCGCGAGCGUUGUCCGGAAUUAUUGGGCGUAAAGGGCUUGUAGGUGGCUGGUUGCGUCUGUCGUGAAAGCUCAUGGCUUAACUGUGGGUUUGCGGUGGGUACGGGCUGGCUUGAGUGCAGUAGGGGAGGCUGGAAUUCCUGGUGUAGCGGUGGAAUGCGCAGAUAUCAGGAGGAAUACCGGUGGCGAAGGCGGGUCUCUGGGCUGUUACUGACGCUGAGGAGCGAAAGCGUGGGGAGCGAACAGG
rnacentral:rRNA from 1 species